GGUGGAAUGCAUUCUGAAAAACAUUGCUGUCGGAUGGCGAUCCGCGGCGUCACUUUGCUGGGACAGCCGGACAAGGCGGGAUUAUCCUCGAACUUUUCACCUCAAACCUUUGAGUGAAACCAUAGCAAGCGUAGAGUGAAAUAAAACGUAAAACAUUUAUAAAA